CAUGCGCAGACUGCUCGGAAGUUGCUUCCCCGGAGUGCCGCCAUCUUUGUUCCUGGUCCCCCGGCGCGGCUCCCGCGUGUCUGAGACCUACGGAAAUGGCACCCGGAUCCAUGAGGAGGAGGAGUGACAUCAGAGUUUGUAUGCAAAUGAGAGGACAUCUUGUACAGCUCAGCAAAGGAAACCCCUAACACGGCGAGCCACCACGGAAUCAAAGGAUUUAAAUAACACUCCUGGCUGAGGAAUGAAUAUAGUUAUCUCCCUAGACCUUUUUAACCUCUUGCCCUAUCCAGCAGAGACGCUGGCUGCCAAGAGGAGCCCUGGCUUCAAACCAAGAGCAGGCCUCCUGGUGCUCCCACAAGGACGGAAGCCCCGGCUCUGCCUGCGCACCAGCGCACAAAGCUGCAGAUCUCCUCCUCCGCGUCACUCCUGGGAGCAGCAGCGGCGCUGUGUGCGUGACCCGUCGGGCCCCCGCCCGAAGCUGAGCCUAAUAAAGGCAUUAAAAAAGGA